rnacentral:misc_RNA from 1 species
AAGUCGUAACAAGGUUUCCGUAGGUGAACCUGCGGAAGGAUCAUUAUCGAAAUAGCAUGACGAGUUGUCGCUGGCCCCCAUGCGAGGGUUGUGCACGCUUGUUGUUCUUCAUUUCUCCAUCUCAUUUGUGCACCUCUUGUGUGGAUCAAUGUCCUUUGCGGACGAAUGGGGGGUUUGCUUUGCAAAAUACUUGCGGGCUUUCCUUGUGAUCUAUAUUUUUACAUAUACUCCAGUCACAUAGAAUGAUAUAUAUAUAUAUGGAAAUUGUUAUACAACUUUCAGCAACGGAUCUCUUGGCUCUCGCAUCGAUGAAGAACGCAGCGAAAUGCGAUAAGUAAUGUGAAUUGCAGAAUUCAGUGAAUCAUCGAAUCUUUGAACGCAUCUUGCGCUCCUUGGUUAAUCCAAGGAGCAUGCCUGUUUGAGUGUCAUUAAUGUCUCAACCACGCCGUGAGGUCGUGGCUUGGAUUUGGGGGUUACAGGCUCUGAACUUGUGGUCUGCUCCCCUGAAAUACAUGAGCGGUGAACGACCCUCUCCGUCGAGAUGUGAUACAUAUCUGCAUCCAGUUGAGGGUUUUGCUGCUGCGAGAGUUGGAUUUGAUAAACUUGACCUCAAAUCAGGUAGGACCACCCGCUGAACUUAAGCAUAUCAAUAAGCGGAGGAAAAGAAACUAACCAGGAUUCCCUUAGUAACUGCGAGUGAAGUGGGAAGAGCUCAAAUUUGUAAUCUGGCGGCCUUUGGCCGUCCGAGUUGUAAUCUAAAGAA